AUCUAUGACCAUAAGACCCUUAAUGCAUUCAGUUUCAUAUAAUCUCUGAAGCUGAGCAGGGGUGGACUUGGCUAGUACUUGGAUGAGGCAACAAUUAGAAUCAGUUGCUCAAAAUA
rnacentral:rRNA from 1 species